rnacentral:sRNA from 1 species
UUGACACAGGUAAGUGGGACAACGACCACC